rnacentral:rRNA from 1 species
AUUGAACGCUGGCGGAAUGCUUUACACAUGCAAGUCGAACGGCAGCACGGACUUCGGUCUGGUGGCGAGUGGCGGACGGGUGAGUAAUGUAUCGGAACGUGCCCAGUCGUGGGGGAUAACGUAGUGAAAAUUACGCUAAUACCGCAUACGAUCUAUGGAUGAAAGCGGGGGAUCGCAAGACCUCGCGCGAUUGGAGCGGCCGAUAUCAGAUUAGGUAGUUGGUGGGGUAAAGGCCCACCAAGCCAACGAUCUGGAGCUGGUCUGAGAGGACGAACAGCCACACUGGAACUGAGCCACGGUCCAGACUCCUACGGGAGGCAGCAGUGGGGAAUUUUGGACAAUGGGCGAAAGCCUGAUCCAGCCAUUCCGCGUGCAGGAUGAAGGCCCUCGGGUUGUAAACUGCUUUUGUACAGAACGAAAAGGUUUCUACUAAUACUAGGAGCUCAUGACGGUACUGUAAGAAUAAGCACCGGCUAACUACGUGCCAGCCGCCGCCGUAA